AAUAAAUUUCCAACGUCUAACACACAUCGUUUACGGCAUGGACUACGAGGGUAUCUAAUCCUCUUCGCUACCCAUGCUUUCGUUCCUCAGUGUCAGUAAUGAUCCAGAAAGCUGCCUUCGCAAUUGGUAUUCUUUCUAAUAUCUACGAAUUUCACCUCUACACUAGAAAUUCUGCUUUCCUCUAUCAUACUCUAGCUGAAAAGUUUUGAUGGCAGUUCCAGAGUUAAGCUCUGGGAUUUCACCACCAACUUUUUCAACCACCUACGAACUCUUUAAGCCCAGUAAUUCCGAACUACGCUAGGUCCCUUCGUAUUACCGCGGCUGCUGGCACGAAGUUAGCCGGACCUUCUUAUUCGGGUACAGUCAUUUUCUUCCCCGAAGAAAGAGCUUUACAACCCAAAGGCCUUCUUCACUCACGCGGCAUCGCUGCAUCAGAGUUUCCUCCAUUGUGCAAGAUUCCCCACUGCUGCCUCCCGUAGGAGUUUGGGCCGUGUCUCAGUCCCAAUGUGGCUGAUCAUCCUCUCAAAUCAGCUAUUGAUCAUAGUCUGGGUAGGCCAUUACCCUACCAACAAACUAAUCAAGGGCGGGCUCAUCCAAUGGUGCAUAAAGCUUUCUCCGUAAAGACUUAUCCGGUAUUAGCACAAGUUUCCUCGUGUUAUUCCAGGCCAAAGGGUAGAUACCCACAUGUUACUCACCCGUCUGCCACUAAGUAUGGCUACUUCGUUGGACUGGCAUGUGUUGGGCGUGCCGCCAGCGUACGUUCGGAGCCAGGAUCAAACUCU
rnacentral:rRNA from 1 species